AACGAACGCUGGCGGCGCGCCUAAUACAUGCAAGUCGAACGAGAAUGUGUAGCAAUACACAUGUAAAGUGGCGAACGGGUGAGGACUACAUGGGUAACCUACCCUCGAGUGGGGGAUAACCAGCCGAAAGGUUGGCUAAUACCGCGUACGCUUCCGGGGCUGCGGUUUCGGAAGGAAAGCGAUACCGUGGGUAUCGCGCUCUUGGAUGGGCUCAUGCCCUAUCAGCUUGUUGGUGAGGUAACGGCUCACCAAGGCAUCGACGGGUAGCUGAUCUGAGAGGAUGAUCAGCCACACUGGCACUGCGACACGGGCCAGACUCCUACGGGAGGCAGCAGUAAGGAAUAUUGCGCAAUGGGCGAAAGCCUGACGCAGCGACGCCGCGUGGGGGAUGAAGGUCUUCGGAUUGUAAACCCCUUUCGGGAGGGAAGAUGGGAUGGGGUAAACCCAUUCGGACGGUACCUCCAGAAGCAGCCACGGCUAACUUCGUGCCAGCAGCCGAC
rnacentral:rRNA from 1 species